UAUGCAAUUGUUAUGUGCACUCUAGAAAUUAGGGGUUAAAGAAGGGUUCUUCUAAGAUCCUCAAAGUUCUUUGAAGAACCUUAGUGUUAUUGGCACUGAAUAUUGCCCAGAAAAGUUUUGUCCAAGAACCCCAUAGGAGGUGGGGUUCAUCGAGGAACCUCCUUAGUUGGUGGGGGGUUCUUGCAGGAACCUAACUGCCCAACUGAAACAUUUGGAUUUGAAUUUGAAAGGACAGCAGAUGCAGAAAAUGAACACAAUUCAAUGGAUAUCAAUCAACAAAGAGGUAUACAGAUGAGGAGGCCUACAAAGACUUCACCCUCCCUACACCUCUGAUGAAUAUAUCAGGAAACCUGUUUGAUCACCAUGAACUGCAAAAUCAUUCGGUCUAUGGAUACGGAGAACAUCAACACAUUAACAUCAACAGGACAAAGGAUAUACACAUUGGACUUGGGGCUCUGCUGGGAGUUUGCCUCAUAUUUAGAUGUUUUUUAUUCUGCUUUGCCACUAAAAUCAUAAUCAACACUGACAACUAAAAUAUUGUAUUAUUGUUAUGUGUAUGAUAAUGAUAAUUAAUAAUAAUUGGGGAGGGGGGUAGUUAAAAAAUGAACCCCAAAAGGUUCUUCAAAAGGUUAUUUGAGGAUCCGUUAAAAGGGGUUCUUUGAAGAACUUCAGGGGUUCCCACCCAGUUUCAAUUGGAAGAACCCCUAAAGGAUACUCCAGAAACCUUCUAUUUUUAGAGUGUGGUUAUACUGUAAGCCUAUCAAAGAUGGUGGAUGAAUGAAGAUGUCUUACUCAGGCAGUUUACCAUUGGAAAAAAUGGUCAAGGUUCCUGUCUGUGUAAGUUGGCGUUCCCAUGUGAGACCAAUGGCUCUGGUCUACUUAUUGUCUCUUCCCACUCUCCCCACCCACAGGGGGAAAUAAGUAGACCAGAGUGGCGCCGCCCCCAGAGUGGGAUGUCUUGCUUUCUCUACCGCCUCUGGAUCUAUACUGUAUUACUUACCCUUAAAUGUACCUAUUGGUGCUUUGUUUCCAUCCCACAUAAUUGAUUUUUAAGGACAAUACAUAGGCCAGUACCUAAAUUAUUUUUACAAAACCACACACACAAUGGUUUUGACUUGUAGAUAUGACUGAAUGAUUUUGUCACGUUGUUUCUUAUUGUGUUGCUGUAAGCCUAUGUGUAGGCCUGUGUUUUGUCUAUUACAAUAAAUUGUUUGAACUAAAGUCUCUCAUUUGAAAUGAAUAAUAUGAAACGCGAUGUUUGUGUAUAUUUGACAGGUUUGGAUGAGCGCAUCAGUGGUACUUUGUGUGGAACCUUGAUGAUAAGGACCA
ensembl:lncRNA